rnacentral:rRNA from 1 species
AGUAUAAGCAAUUAUACCGCGAAACUGCGAAUGGCUCAUUAAAUCAGUUAUCGUUUAUUUGAUAGUUCCAUACUACUUGGAUAACCGUGGUAAUUCUAGAGCUAAUACAUGCAAAAAACCGCGACUUCGGAAGCGGUGUAUUUAUUAGAUUAAAGACCAAUGCCCUUCGGGGCUGACAGGUGAUUCAUGAUAACUUCUCGAAUCGCAUGGCCUUGCGCCGGCGAUGGUUCAUUCAAAUUUCUGCCCUAUCAACUUUCGACUUUAGUGUAGUGGACUAAAGUGGUUGCAACGGGUAACGGAGGGUUAGGGCUCGACCCCGGAGAAGGAGCCUGAGAAACGGCUACUACAUCCAAGGAAGGCAGCAGGCGCGCAAAUUACCCAAUCCCGACACGGGGAGGUAGUGACAAUAAAUACUGAUACAGGGCUCUUUUGGGUCUUGUAAUUGGAAUGAGUACAAUUUAAAUCCCUUAACGAGGAACAAUUGGAGGGCAAGUCUGGUGCCAGCAGCCGCGGUAAUUCCAGCUCCAAUAGCGUAUAUUAAAGUUGUUGUGGUUAAAAAGCUCGUAGUUGAACCUGGGCCUCGCGCAGACCGGUCCGCCUCACCGCGUGCACUGGUCCUGCCGGGGCUUUCACUAGGGGAUUCGCAUGUCCUUCACUGGUCGUGCGCGGAACCUGGACUUUUACUGUGAAAAAAUUAGAGUGUUCAAAGCAGGCCUAUGCUCGAAUACAUUAGCAUGGAAUAAUAGAAUAGGACGUGUGGUUCUAUUUUGUUGGUUAUGGGACCGCCGUAAUGAUUAAUAGGGACAGUCGGGGGCAUCAGUAUUCAAUUGUCAGAGGUGAAAUUCUUGGAUUUAUUGAAGACUAACUACUGCGAAAGCAUUUGCCAAGGAUGUUUUCAUUAAUCAGGAACGAAAGUUAGGGGAUCGAAGACGAUCAGAUACCGUCGUAGUCUUAACCAUAAACUAUGCCGACUAGGGAUCGGGCGAUGUUACUUUUUGACUCGCUCGGCACCUUACGAGAAAUCAAAGUCUGUGGGUUCCUGGGGAAGUAUGGUGGCAACGCUGAAACUUAAAGAAAUUGACGGAAGGG